rnacentral:rRNA from 1 species
UACGUAGGGUGCGAGCGUUGUCCGGAAUUAUUGGGCGUAAAGAGCUCGUAGGCGGUGUGUCGCGUCGGCCGUGAAAACCUGGGGCUCAACUCUGGGCGUGCGGUCGAUACGGGCAUCACUUGAGUUCGGCAGGGGAGACUGGAAUUCCUGGUGUAGCGGUGAAAUGCGCAGAUAUCAGGAGGAACACCAAUGGCGAAGGCAGCUCGCUGGGACGGUACUGACGCUGAGGCGCGAAAGCGUGGGGAGCAAACAGG